UGGGGAAUCUUCCGCAAUGGACGAAAGUCUGACGGAGCAACGCCGCGUGAGUGAAGAAGGUUUUCGGAUCGUAAAACUCUGUCUUUUGGGGCGAACGUGAGUAUGGUGAACAAUCAUAGUCAGUGACGGUACCAAAGGAGGAAGCCACGGCUAACUACGUGCCAGCAGCCGCGGUAAUACGUAGGUGGCAAGCGUUGUCCGGAAUUAUUGGGCGUAAAGAGCGCGUAGGCGGGAUAGUCAGUCUGUUGUAAAGUGCGGGGCUCAACCCCGUGAUCGCAAUGGAAACAGCUAUUCUUGAGUGCAGGAGAGGAAAGUGGAAUUCCCAGUGUAGCGGUGAAAUGCGUAGAUAUUGGGAGGAACACCAGUGGCGAAGGCGACUUUCUGGACUGUGUCUGACGCUGAGGCGCGAAAGCCAGGGGAGCGAACGGGAUUAGAUACCCCGGUAGUCCUGGCCGUAAACGAUGGGUACUAGGUGUGGGAGGUAUCGACCCCUUCCGUGCCGGAGUUAACGCAAUAAGUACCCCGCCUGGGGAGUACGGUCGCAAGACUGAAACUUAAAUGAAUUGACGGGGUCAUAGCUGUUU
rnacentral:rRNA from 1 species